AUGUUAGAUUAUGUGUAAGUUAAGUACAGAACUGACUGCGCCCAAAUUUUUGUCUGUGCUCAUAAAUGUUUUAACUUGGGCGCACAAGUGCUCCUGGAAAACAAUGUUAGUGUAGAGCACUGUAAGCCCAUAUCUUGCCUUGCCAUCAUUGCCCAGUCUGAAAUCAAUGACUAACUUGUUCUUACCUCAAAAUCCUUCCUUCUCUAUAGUCAGGUAGAACUUUGUGGAAUUUGGGCAUAAGUGUGACAUAAGGUACUAAUGCAAUUUUUUUGCAUAAAUUGAUAGGUAAGGGGGUGUCCUUUCAGAAUCUGACGGGUGCCGCUCCGGCACCCUUGAGCAUUUUGUUUAAAAUGGCAUCACCUGCCACACCCCUUUUUUGAUCAUAGAAAAUCAUCUAAAUAGACAUUAACCUAUAAACCCAUCAUGUAUGGUAUCAAAUUAAAGCUCUUUUCAUACAGAAAUCAGCUUUGACUAUAAUAAAGUAGAAAAAAAUUGUUUAGGUCCCUCCAGAGAACAAAAUACCUUUUGCAAAGUGACCUUUAAGGUCAAAUUAGGUUUCUUUUUGCUGCAUAAUAGCUUAUACCUCUAAAUCGUGUCAUGUUUGGUAUUAAAUUAAACAAAUUAUGGAACUGCCAUGUAGCUUAAUACAUACAGGAAUACAAUCAUUCAAUAGUAAUUCAUUUUAAUAUGAAUUAUAGCAAGUCUGAUGUACCCUAGUUCACCAACUUGCGGGUUAGCUAGCACGUUAGCUUUAAUUUCCCUUGAAUCAGUCGCUGAAUUUCAGACAGCAAUGUUGUGAGGUACUUCCCAGGUAGUUAGCACAUUAAUUAGUGGGUUUGAUCCAGCAAGCCCACAGCAUGGCUAAAGUGAAUCCAUGUUCAUACAGGUCAUUUAAAAAAUAAAAAAACUUUUCCAGUCCAUUCAGCCCAGUUAGCUCGAUUCAAACUUAGUCAUGUAUACAGUUGUAUAGAUACACUGAGAAACACACAUUCAUACAGAUAUUAUGCACAUCCACGCAACACUACUAUUUAAGUUAAGUUACUCAUCAUUGCCCGGCAAGAAGUCCACAAUCAAUUCAAUUGUCUUGCCACGAUCUGUGGGGUUAAUCCGGAGCAGUGAGUUGACUUGCUACAGUGGCGCUCGGGAGCAGUGAAGGGUCAGGUGCCUUGCAUUUUACCCAUUCGGGGGUAGUGUACAACACACCCACACAAACAGUGUACUGUACACCCAUUCAAACACACAAACACACCCUAGAGCAGUGAGCAUACUAGGAGUAUACAUUAACACCCGGAGCAGUGGGCAGCCCUUCAUCUGGCGUCUGGGGAGCAGGGCUCAAGGGCACCUCAUCCAGAUGUGGGUACCUCACAUGGAUGUGGGAGAGCGCUGUUAAGUCACUCCCCCCACUCACAUUUUUCCUACCAGUCGGGGAUCGAACUGGCCACCCUUUAGUCACAAGUCCGAUUCCCUAACCAGUAGGCCAUGGAUGCCCAAAGUAAUUGACAUUAAUGCUAUGGCUGCAAAAUUAGACAAAUGUUAUGAUUUGUUGGCUGUUCAUGCAUUGUUUGGUUGUGACAGUGUGUCAUAUCCAUAUGGCAAAGGGAAAACCUCAGAAAUCAAUUUGAUGCUCAAGAGGAAUCUUGAUUUGAAGAAUUGUACAUAUGUACUGUAGAAGCUGAUGAGCAUGAAGGCAGGAAUGGAUUUCCUUUCUUGCCUCUACUAUGGAAAGACUGUUGAAAGCCUCAGAAACUUGAUUCAUGCUAUUCACCAAGAAAAGAGACCCUGCUAAAAUAAAGAGUCUUCCUCCAACAAGAGAAUAUGCAGCGGAACGCAUCAAGCGUGCACGGCUGCAAGUCCUUCUGUGGAGAGCUGCUGACAAAAAAACACCUCCAGUGUGAAAAUGGAGGAUGGAAUUCCUGUGCCUGUCUACAGCUUGUUGCUUGUGGAUGCAAGGCAGUGCCAGCAUGCUCCAGGGCCUCUUGCAGCUGUCAGUCAGAUGGACUACCAUGCACCACCUUCUACCAUUGCAAAGGUGGUGAACAGUGUGCAAAUAAAAAUUUGGCUACACUUUCAGUGGAGGAUACUGAUGACAGCGAGGGAGAAAUAUCUGAUUGAAUGAAUGUUUUUUGGAGGAGACAUUUGAUGUUUGUGAUGUGUACAAGGCCAGCCUGGCAACAUGUUCUGUAUAUAGUUGCUUUCAGAAUCUGUGAGAAAGUUCUACUUUGUUCCUUAUAACUUAGUCUAUUUGAUUAAUUGUUGAGGGUUGAUACAAUUCAUAUGUCUCUUGUGGUUGUUGCUUAGCCUACCAUUUCAGCGGUGUGACGUUACCAGGCUUUACAGUUAUUAUGUUCUCUGGAGGGACUUGAAAUCAUUUUUAGCAUGUUUUUAUUGACAUCAUUGAUUUCUGUUUGAGAAAAGCUUUCAUUUGAUACCAUACAUGAUGGGUUUAUACAGUAAUGUGCAUCUAGUUAUUUUUUAUGGUCAAAAAUAAGGGGCGUGGCAAAUUAUGUAAUUUAAAAAAAAUGCUCAAGGGUGCCAGAGCGGCACCCGUCAGAUUCUGAGUCUACACCCCCUAAACUAUCAAUUUAUGCAAAAAAAAUGCAUUAGUACCUUAUGUCACACCUAUCCUGGGGUUCUACCUGACUACUAUAAAGAAUCGACCUUGCAAUGAUCUCGACCUUGAUCUUAAUCUCUGCUAAUGUAGCUAAUCAAGUUUUUCUUUUUAUGCCAUGUUUUUUUCUUCCCUGUUGCUGAAAGCCAUUUAGGCAUUGUGAAACAGUUUCACUUUCUUCAGUUGAACUUUUGUUUGUUGAGAAUAAAGGAGUACAAUGGGUGAAA